rnacentral:rRNA from 1 species
GGACUCGGGGGGAAGUAUGCUCGCAAGAGUGAAACUUAAAGGAAUUGACGGAAGGGCACCACAAGGUGUGGAGCCUGCGGCUUAAUUUGACUCAACACAGUGAAACUUACCAGGUCCAGACAUAGCAAGGAUUGACAGACUGAAGGUCUUUCUUGAUUCUAUGCAUGGUGGUGCAUGGCCGUUCUUAGUUGGUGGAUUGAUUUGUCUGGUUAAUUCCGAUAACGAACGAGACCUUAGCCAUCUAACUAGCCGUCGUUACUUCGGUAGCGUUUGUUCGCAAGUUCGGCUUCUUAGAGGGACUAUCUGCGCACAGCAGAAGGAAGUUUGAGGCAAUAACAGGUCAGUGAUGCCCUUAGAUGCUCUGGGCUGCACGCGCGCUACAAUGGCAAACCCAAAGAGUUCACCCUGGCCUGAAAAGGCUGAGUAAUCUCCAAAGUUUGUCAAAGUUGGGACAGACGAUUGCAAUUUUUCGUCUCGAACAAGGAAUAUCUAGUAAACGUGAGUCAUCAACUCGCAUUGAUUACGUCCCUGCCCUUUGUACACACCGCCCGUCGCUCCUACCGAUUGAAUAACGAGGUGAACUGAGUGGAUAGUGAGACAUUUGUUUUGCUAGAAACUCCGUGAACCUUGAUAUUUAGAGGAAGGACAAGUCGUAACAAGG